rnacentral:rRNA from 1 species
UACGUAGGGGGCAAGCGUUGUCCGGAUUUAUUGGGCGUAAAGAGCGUGUAGGCGGCUUGGUAGGUCCGCUGUGAAAAACUCGAGGCUCAACCUCGAGAUGUCGGCGGAAACCACUUGGCUAGAGUCCGGAAGAGGCGAGUGGAAAUUCCUGGUGUAGCGGUGAAAUGCGCAGAUAUCAGGAGGAACACCGAUGGCGAAGGCAGCUCGCUGGGACGGUACUGACGCUGAGGCGCGAAAAGCGUGGGGAGCAAACAGG